AGAACGAACGCUGGCGGCAGGCCUCAAACAUGCAAGUCUAGGGGGCGUAGCAAUACGUCACCGGCGGACGGGUGCGUAACACGUGGGAAUGUACUUACUGGUUCGGAACAACUCAGGGAAACUUGAGCUAAUACCGAAUGUGCCCGAAAGGGGAAAGAUUUAUCGCCAGUAAAUCAGCCCGCGUCCGAUUAGCUAGUUGGUGGGGUAAAGGCCCACCAAGGCGACGAUCGGUAGCUGUUCUGAGAGGAAGAUCAGCCACACUGGGACUGAGACACGGCCCCAGACUCCUACGGGAGGCAGCAGUUGGGAAUCUUGGACAAUGGGGAAACCCUGAUCCAGCCAUGCCGCGUGAGUGAUGAAGGCCUUCGGGUUGUAAAACUCUUUCGACGGGGACGAUAAUGACGGUACCCGUAGAAGAAGCUCCGGCUAACUUCGCGCCAGCAGCCGC
rnacentral:rRNA from 1 species